rnacentral:lncRNA from 1 species
CUCAAUCAUGUUCAAAAGAGGCCUAUUCAUCAUUCUAAUCAUCCAUCUUGAAGAUUCAAAGGUCAUGGCAAAAGUUACUAAAAAUGGAAAAUGACCUGUAAUUCAAAGUUUCCAAAUUUGGCAAGUUUUUGGUCCACAUUCAACUUCAUUCUAAUCAUCCAUCUUGAAGAUUCAAAGGUCAUGGCAAAAGUUACUAAAAAUGGAAAAUGACCUGUAAUUCAAAGUUUCCAAAUUUGGCAAGUUUUUGGUCCACA